UCCCGGUCGGGGACGCUCCGGCCGGGAGCCGCAGGAUGGGGCUGCGUCCUAUCAGGUAUUUGGUGGGGUAACGGCCCACCAAGCCUGUGACGGGUAGGGGCCCUGAGAGGGGGAGCCCCCAGAUGGACUCUGAGACAAGAGUCCAGGCCCUACGGGGCGCAGCAGGCGCGAAAACUCCGCAAUGGGCGAAAGCCCGACGGGGUUACCCCGAGUGCCACCCUCGUGGUGGCUUUUGCCCGCUCUAAAAAGGCGGGCGAAUAAGGGGAGGGCAAGUCGGGUGUCAGCCGCCGCGGUAAUACCCGCUCCCCGAGUGGUGGAGGCUAUUACUGGGCCUAAAGCGCCCGUAGCCGGCCCGGUGUGUCCCUCGUUAAAUCCACGGGCUUAACCCGUGGGCUGCGGGGGAUACUACCGGGCUUGGGGGUGGGAGAGGCGCCCGGUAUUCCCGGGGUAGGGGUAAAAUCCUCUAAUCCCGGGAGGACCAUCAGUGGCGAAGGCGGGGCGCCAGAACACGCCCGACGGUGAGGGGCGAAAGCUGGGGGAGCAAACGGGAUUAGAUACCCCGGUAGUCCCAGCCGUAAACGAUGCGGGCUAGCUGUCGGGGCGGCUACGGGCCGCCCCGGUGGCGAAGGGAAGCCAUUAACCCCGCCGCCUGGGG
rnacentral:rRNA from 1 species